AGCAUUUUGGAUCAGCUGAAGGCUUUUCAGGGAGUUUUUAGGACUUCCUGAUAAUAAUGAAUUACAGUACACAGAAUCCUCCAUGCAGUCCUCGUGAGCUUGUGGGCUUAUGAGGCCUGCGCUCCUGCAGUGCCACACAUCUGUCACGACAGUGAUUCUGAUGGGCACAAACAGUUCAGCUGAUGAAGAUGUUUAAUGUUGGUGCAGGGAUUCCAGCCUCUGGUUUCGCUGUGAUCUUUGUGUGUGAGUCAGUCCCUGUGCACACGCAGAGCAGCUGUACUACAAUCAUAUUUCGUAAAGCAGCUCCAAGCUGCAGACAGGCAUGUGCCCGGGUUCCUCUAUGCACACCGUGAGCAGCCUUGCAGAGGUUUCCGUAGUGUAGUGGUUAUCACGUUCGCCUCACACGCGAAAGGUCCCCGGUUCGAAACCGGGCGGAAACAGGCGUUUGCUUUUAUUCAUACACACGUUUCGUAUCAUUAACUGGUCCGCGUGGACCAGCCUCGUGAGUAGUUGUUUAACGUUUACUGACUCACGUAAACGGAAGUGAAAGCAGCAGUAAGAAACACCAGUGGCGAUAGGUUCCCUGGAACAUGUGACACGUCUGUCCCACUGAAACGUUUUGGGUUGAUUGCGCGUGCACACUUUGAUUGCGCGUGCCUCGUUCAAACUACGCACACGGCUAACGGCUCUGCUGUUAGCUAGCAUUUCUUCUUCUACAAGAUAGGAAAAGAAAAAGAAGUCAUUACUGUUUCCGCCCGGUUUCGAACCGGGGACCUUUCGCGUGUUAGGCGAACGUGAUAACCACUACACUACGGAAACCUGCUCACAGUGAUGUGUAAACACAGUUAUGUUAAUGCAACCCUCAUCAGGUCACAGAUAACGGGCCACGGCCCAGCCUAUCGGUGUCUGUGUGCGACCAGGAAGCUGCACAGUUUCCGUAGUGUAGUGGUUAUCACGUUCGCCUCACACGCGAAAGGUCCCCGGUUCGAAACCGGGCGGAAACAGCUGUUUUGUUUCGCCGUGCUGUUAUAAUCGAUAAUGGCAUCAUUUCCACAGUCCAAUAAUCUUCUGCCUUUCCUUCUCCAGGCGUAAAUGUCCGCCUGAGUGUGAAUAUGAAACACUUUAAACACACACAGGUGUAUGACGUGCUCUGAGUGCUGCAGUAGAGUAGAGAGACCAGUCAUCGUUCUCCAGAAGACACAGUCCAGGACGUACUCUCCCUGCACCUCCUCCUGCAGCCUGAGGCUCCGCUCCCUCACAGGUGCACACGUGUCUUUAAUCGAUCGAGCUUCAACAGGAGGGAUCGGAGCGCUCCCUGGGUAUGACUGUCAACUAUGAAAACUCCUUCAUCAAAUGGAUCUGCCAAAAUCGUAAACACUAUUCAUCUGGUCAGGACACCAUUUUGAAGGAUUCCACUGAAGAGCUGACUGGAGGAUGGAGACAGUCGCCAUGUGUACGAAGAGAGGUGUCGUCUGUCUCCUCUUACAGGAAGAUGUCCAUUGCAGAAGAUGUAAGAUGAGCCAAGGACUGGACCCAGCCCAAAUCAGGAGGCGGAGUCAUAAUACAAGUGUUUGCUGCUUGGCUGUGCUGUCCUUUUGUCUGUUCGGCUCAGAGGAAGGGGACACGGCGUUUACAUGUGCAGUGCUCCAUACAUCCUUUGAGAGAAAUCAUUUAAAGCAUUUAUCUUUGUUGUCCAAAGCUCAGGCAGCAGCUCAAACACUGCUGAUAACACCUCCACCUCUGCAGCAGCAGACUGAACCAGGACUCAAACCUGCUCCAUCAUCUCAUCUUUGUAGACCUGCAUUUGCAAGCACCAACAAGUCAACGGUAAACAUUAUACUGGAUAAUCUGCUGGUUUAAAAGGCUUCGUCCUUUUGUAAAAAAACAGCUCAUAUCAGCAGAACUGUAGGACUAAAAAAUGUAAGAGAAGAGCUUCAGAUCCUGAGUGUGUGAGGACAGAAGGAUCAGCUUUAUUUCAGAUUUGAGAUAAACUUUAUAUUUCAGUUUGUGAUUACAGGAGCUGCCCUCAGAUUCAGACCUCAGCACCACCCAGUGACAGCAGACAGAUCAUCCAACAUGUUAACUGUAAAAUUAAGUGAGGAAAACAGUACAAAGGUUAAAGUACCACACGUGCUGUAGUGAAGGCUGCAGCUGUUUUAUUGAUAAAUUUAAAGACAAAAA